rnacentral:rRNA from 1 species
GUUCCUACGGGGGGCAGCAGUGAGGAAUAUUGGUCAAUGGGCGGGAGCCUGAACCAGCCAAGCCGCGUGAAGGAAGAAGGCGCCAGGCGUCGUAAACUUCUUUUGUCGGGGAACAAAGGGCGUCACGCGUGGCGUUGUGAGUGUACCCGAAGAAAAAGCAUCGGCUAACUCCGUGCCAGCAGCCGCGGUAAUACGGAGGAUGCGAGCGUUAUCCGGAUUUAUUGGGCGUAAAGCGAGUGCAGGCGGUUCAAUAAAUCU